UCUUUAGACUUAGUCUUGAACAAAAUAAAUAAAGACCCACUCUCUGCUAAUGCGAUCCAGGUGUAGAAGUUAAUUAAUAAAUCAAAACUGAAUCGGUCUCAGAUUUCUUUAAAUACAGGCCAUGUCUCUCCUCAUUUUCCACUGAUCAUCUCCCAGUGACGAGAAAAGAAGAAGAAAAAAGAAAUUAAAAUCGCGAUGGGAAACGGUAAUCAGAACCAGAAGGAGGACCCGAACAGGUUGCGUGUGGAGUUCCCAAACGGCGCAAUUGCCUCAGGCACCCCUACCAUGCUUGGCAGACUCAUUAAUCGUGUUGCAGGAUAAUUUGCACUAAUUCAUUUCAACUAUGGAAAGGAGGAUUCCUAAUUUCUUCAAGUCACUUGCUUCAUAUCGACAUAUUAUCAAUGACAAGAACUGAGAGCACUAAACUCGUAUCGGGAUGCCCAAAUCCAAUGUUGGGGAUGACAAUAGCGGGAAGGGAGGCCCUCAUCAGAAAUGCUACACCAAGUAGCUUGAAGAAAUUAGGAAUAUCGUCGUGUUUAAAUUUAAUUUCUUGAAGAGACUUUUGUACUUUUUGUCUCUUCCUAACAAAAAGAGACCAACCCAAAGGAGGUAGGAAAAACACGUUCCUCCGCCAGCAAAGGAUUGUGGAAUUCUAUACCGAGCACCUCAGGUGGUUCGACCAAAAUAAAAGCCACUUCAGUGGCAACAGCAGCAACGAGCAAAGAAAACACUGACGGGAUGGUUAACCAGAUUCAAAAGGGAGCAAUUAAUAUGGCGCAAAAUGUUCAGAAGGGAGCUGUUGAGAUGGCACAAAAUGCUCCAAAGAAAGCUGUUGAGAUGGCGCAAAAUGCUCCAAAAAAAGCUUCUGAACUAAAGGAAAAACUUCGAAGGAAGUUCUUUCCAAAACCAUGGGAGAAACCUGAAUAUCAGGCAUUGUACUUCGCUAGACAAAAUGUCCCGAAGAAAGAUGCCCCACGUAUUGAUCCUGAAGUCUUCAUCGGAAAAAAAAAAAAUUGGUGAAAUUAAAGAAGGCAAACAUUGCCUGCGGUCGUGCCACGGAAGUUAAACAAAGAAAGAUACCGUGGAUUCACAAAAUCAAUUUAUAGCUUAUUUGGAGGCAAGACUGUAUAAUUUAUUUUUGGUGAGAAAACAUAAAAUAAAGAGGGGGAUGCAACACGAGGAUUUUCCAAGA